GUGCCAGCCGCCGCGGUAAUACGUAGGGGGCAAGCGUUGUCCGGAAUGACUGGGCGUAAAGCGCGCGCAGGCGGUUUUUCACGUCUGGGGUGAAAGCCCGGGGCUCAACCCUGGGAUGGCCUUGGAAACGGGGGAACUUGAGGGUCGGAGAGGUCAGGGGAAUUCCACGUGUAGCGGUGAAAUGCGUAGAGAUGUGGAGGAAUACCAGUGGCGAAGGCGCCUGACUGGACGAAACCUGACGCUGAGGCGCGAAGGCGUGGGGAGCAAACAGGAUUAGAUACCCUGGUAGUCCACGCGGUAAACGAUGAGUGCUAGGUGUCGGAGGGUACCACCUCCGGUGCCGAAGGAAACCCAAUAAGCACUCCGCCUGGGGAGUACGGUCGCAAGACUGAAACUCAAAGGAAUUGACGGGGGCCCGCACAAGCAGUGGAGCAUGUGGUUUAAUUCGAAGCAACGCGAAGAACCUUACCAGGGCUUGACAUCGGUCUGAACGGGGUAGAGAUAUUCCUUCCCUUCGGGGCAGACUAGACAGGUGGUGCAUGGUUGUCGUCAGCUCGUGUCGUGAGAUGUUGGGUUAAGUCCCGCAACGAGCGCAACCCUUGCUCUGUGUUACCAGCGCGUGAAGGCGGGAACUCACAGAGGACUGCCGGUGACAAACCGGAGGAAGGCGGGGAUGACGUCAAAUCAUCAUGCCCCUUAUGUCCUGGGCGACACACGUGCUACAAUGGGCGGUACAACGGGACGCAAGACCGCGAGGUGGAGCCAAACCCAAGAAAGCCGUUCGUAGUUCGGAUUGCAGGCUGCAACUCGCCUGCAUGAAGCCGGAAUUGCUAGUAAUCGCGGAUCAGCAUGCCGCGGUGAAUACGUUCCCGGGCCUUGUACACACCGCCCGUCACACCACGAGAGUGGGUAACACCCGAAGUCGGUGAGGUAACCGAGAGGCGCAACUUGUUGUGCCGGUCGGGGCCAGCCGCCGAAGGUGGGGCUCGCGAUUGGGGUGAAGUCGUAACAAGGUAACC
rnacentral:rRNA from 1 species